UACGAAGGGGGCUAGCGUUGUUCGGAAUUACUGGGCGUAAAGCGCGCGCAGGCGGCUAUCCAAGUCAGUGGUGAAAGCCCGGAGCUCAACUCCGGAACUGCCAUUGAAACUGUUUAGCUUGAGGAUGAGAGAGGUGAGUGGAAUUCCCAGUGUAGAGGUGAAAUUCGUAGAUAUUGGGAAGAACACCGGUGGCGAAGGCGGCUCACUGGUUCAUUACUGACGCUCAGGCGCGAUAGCGUGGGGAGCAAACAGG
rnacentral:rRNA from 1 species